AGGGAUGUAGCUCAGUGGUAGAGCACUUCCCUAGUAUUCACAAGGCCCUGGGUUCAAUUCCCAGCACCACCA
rnacentral:tRNA from 1 species